rnacentral:lncRNA from 7 species
GGAAUUCCUAGCUCUGUGACUCCUCUCAGUCCCUUGGUGUCUUUUUCAGCCAUUCCUUCUUGUUUCUAUAAAAAAAUAAACCAUUCCUUUUAUAUUUAGAAAUACCAAACAAGAAAACCACCCCCUUAUUUCCUUAAGAGAGAACUAAAUUUAAAGAUGUUAUUUUUGUCAUACCACUGAAAUAGCUUUUCCAUAAAUACAAAGGCCAUAAUGAGGCUUUGAAAGCCCAAGAAGAGGAACUUGGGAUCAGCAGCUUCUGUGGGACAUUCUCUGAGAUUGGGGGACUGCUUGUACUAAGCUUUAUAGUGGACCUUCACGUUCUGAGUUUCUGAAAUGUUGGUGAUGUCUGAGAAAGGGAAGAUAAAUCAUGCUGCCACUGCUCUCUGCACACCCACCUCUGCAAAGUAUCUAAACUAAAAAGGAUUCCUCUGGGAUCAUAGCAGUCUCAGUACUGUGAUAAACCAUGUGCUCUCUAGCAUUGUCGGAACCAUUACAGUGAAGACCACAAAACAGAUCGUGGCUCGACAUGGCAGUUUUACGAGAUUUCUGCAGUGCAACAGCCUUACCAGGAUAAUGUUUUGACUGUACAUUGUAGACCAGUGGGUUCUUCAAAAGAUAACUUGUUUUAAACCGUCAAGACAGCGAGAAGUUGUUUUGUCUGUCUAUAUCCAUCAUACUGUGUGUUACCAGGGACCAGUCAGGCAGCAAGGCUUUAGGUGACUGAAUGCUACUUGUCAGGAAGUGUUUGCAGGCACUUAUGGAAAUAAAUGUAAAAUCCACUUUCAAUUAAAAUUAAUUCUGAGUUCUUUGUGCUCUUCACACAGUUUUCUAUGUUUCUCUUUCCACAUACUGUUAAUUUAUUGCAAAAGGAAAUGAGGCCGCUUAUUGUAAUAUCUCUGUGUGUAUGUGAGAUCCUUCAUUUUGUUCCCACAGCUCUGGUGAAUGUAUGCACAAAAGUAGCAUAGUAAUUUGUGCCAACUUCAAGCUCUGUACAAAGAAAUGGUUAAAUAAUGAAGUCUGGGAGUAAACUCUGGCAGCAAACCAGACCUAAUAAUUCGACUUGGCAAGAUUAUCCAUGCCAGCAAGGAAGGCUGACUUUCUAGUAUAAACAAUUAACUAUGGUGAUAAAGGAUCUACCACAUGCUAUAUUACUGACCAAGCCAAAAGAAAAAAAAACAUAAAUGGUCCAUGUCUCUCAAUUAAUUUGUUCUCUGCAAACUAAUUAGUUAAUUUUGGAUUUGAUGGAUUUGUUUGCUUUAUUAGACAAUAGUAUUCUUCCUGAAUAUGUCUAAAAGGAAAAAUAAUUCUUUCCAUAUCUCAAUAAGCAAUUUUUCUUACCUCUUCUGAGUUUCAAAUCCUUAUUUAACUUCCAACAAAUGAACUUCAACUUCGAAUAAAGAAAAUUUUUUGCAAAAUACUUAAUAACUGAUGUUAAAUAACAAUUGCUGUCACUUUUCCACUAACGUCAUGGUGAAGUAAAGCAUAAAGAUAAAAGAUAAUAUUGCAUGUUGAAUUAUCCAUUGAAAUUUUAAAGAAAACUGCAUCACAAUGCUGCAGAAUUAUCCCUCAUAAUUAUUUAAUGAAAUGAGGAAGACUGAUUCUCUUGAGAAACAGAACUUUAGUUCUUUACAAAUGCUUUCUUGAAAGGAACAUUUUACAUAUGUAUUGUCAUUAUGAGCUUUCCAGUGACUUAUAGCAAAGAUUUAGUAUCAGAACUUCAGGAUAGCUUCUAUCCAAUGUAUAGCUACAAUAAAUGCUCUUUAAUU